UCUUUUUCCCUCUUUCUCCUCCUCAUCGCUGCUCCUCCUACCAGAGCCAGGAGGUGCCGCACUCUCCUUUCACAUGUUCCCCCGGCGCCCCUCUAUUCCUCUUCUCCUCCGCUUUUUCCUUUUUGUUCCAGCAGAAAGCAGCGAAUGAUGAAGCUGCCAACAAAAGACAGAAGCCUUUGACAUUAAACAAUAGGAGCAGCAGCAGACGAUGCCAGCAGGCUCCACCGGUGUCAAUCAGCAGCGCCCAACGGCAGCAAUAACUUCGAGAAGCAGCAGCAGCGACAAUGGAUAGCAGCUGCCACGCCUCUGUUUGCCUCCGUCUUCUCAAGCCAGCAGCAGCCGACAAGACCAUCAGCAACUCUGACAAUUUGAAGAUUCGGUGACGUUCGAACUUUCAGAGUCAUGGCUUACCAUCAUUUCCCCAACACGCAAAUGGUGGUCAAAGUUAAUCCCACUUUGAAGAUUUGGUGGGAAGAUAUUCAGAAAAAUCGAGAGUUAGAAGCAAAUGAACUACUAGGCGGCCUUACUGGUUUGAUCUCCGUAGAGUGAGCUCGUCAUUUAAUGAAGGCAUUGUUGAAAUUCUGGAACACAGAGAGGUUAGUCUUCAAAUUCAAGAACUUUGAUCUAUCCCAAAAAAUUGAAGAGGUUGGAGGAUUCCUGGGUCUCGCAUACAAAAAGCGGGAAAUGAUUGUUCCACACAAGCCAAGUCUAAGAUCUUUUCUAAAGCAAAUGGGCAUGCAUCAUAAUCCAAGUGUACUUUGUCUGAAAGAGGGUUGGAUUUCUUUAGAGUUCUUAUACUCACGCUUUAGGGAUGAGGAAGGUCAUCAAAACUUUCAUAGAGAAUUUGCUUGCCAUUCUUCAAAAUGAGAAAGAUACCGUCUUAACGGAUUCGCCGUAGCCCUAUUAGGCUCUUCGGUUUUCCCUACAAAAGGGGAAAGAUCCACACUAGCUUGUGUUACGUAUUUUGUAUGUUGGCUCGAGGUUGAAAAACCUUAGUCUCCAUGAUACUUGCGGAAAUUCUAAGAGCCUUGACUGCCUGCACCAAGGGCAAAAGAUACUUCGAGGGGUGUAACUUUCUGGUGCAACCUUGGACCGUCGAACAUUUCUACCAAAGAGCUAAUAAAAUAGAAUUGUUAGAGGGACUAUGGGGAACAAAAUUAUCAACCAUCACUUAAGGAUGAAAUAUUUUAUCCCCCCUAUGGGAAUGGAGGACUGGUUCACAUACCUUAAGGAGCGUUCAGCCAUUGAAAUCCAAUGGAGGUAUUAUUGGUUGAAGGCACGACAUGCCAUCAUAAGAGGAAAUGAACUUUACUUUAUUGAGAUUAUGGGUUUGAACGGUGUGCAAUUAUAUGCACCACUUCGAGUCCUUCGAUAAUUCGGACAGAUCUAAAUGAUACCUCUGCGAUCCCACAUGAGCCACUAUGGAUAUGAUUUUGGGCCAGAAAUACCUCAAGUGAACACUAUACUGCGAAGAUGUGAGAAUGUGGUAACCAUCGAUGUUCAAGAACAUGGACCCUUCUGCACACCUGAAUAUUACGUAUGACUUUUAGAAGAUGCAGAGCAUAAAGAUUUGAGCGAAGGAGGUCUUCUUGGUUUUGGCGAUGAAAAGGAGAGAAGAUGGGCUCGCAACCUUCUCAACACCGAUUAUGAUAUCACCCCAGAAAUGAGGAAGCAAAUUGUGUCUAACAAUGGAGAGCAAAAUAAUUGACGUUCUUUUUCCUUUAUUCCCCAUACGUUAUCCCUAGCCCUUUAGUUAACUCUAGAUUGAUGUAAUAAAUUAAAUUUAUUUCAAAAUAAUAAAUGAAAGACGUUUUAUUA